GUGGAAGUGCACAGUGUGCCUCCAUCUUGGGUGAAAGAAGAGAUGUGAGGGCAUUUUUGUCUUCUCCCCCGCUCCCUAAUUCUGUUGAAGUGGCAAUAACAUCAGGCUUUCACAAGUUCCUGAUGAAAGUAGGGACUGAAUGCCCCAGGACUGUGUGUGCAUGAUGGAGAACAAGAUGGAGACAGAAGGUUUGCUUGGGGCUGGAAGAACAUGUUUUGCCUCUGCAGCCUUAUGAAAACAGCUGAAGUAAAUUACUUUCAGACCACCUGAAGGGAGCAGCUCUAAAUGCUUCAGGGCGUGUGGUUGAAUAGACUCCUCAACUACCAAGAUGGAGAAGCUGAAGUGGAUCACACUGGUCAGCCCAUUCCCUUGAUCUGGUGGAAGACUUCCCCAUGUCAGGAUUCCACUGUGCCGUGAUUAGAAAUAGCAUGACUACUGCAACAAGGAGCUCAGCAAGGGUCAGAACAAGGCACUGCAUCAGGCAGGGGAAUUUCAUGAACUCAGCAUUUUGUCUUUAAACUGCAACUGUCUCUAAUUAACAACUUUUCUGCUCGUGAAGGAUACUUGGUCUCUAACAGGCUGCAAGUUGAUCAAGUGAGGGCACUUGCUGCUACAGGAAGUCCUUCCUUACCAUCACUGUGCCUUGGAUUUGUGAAAGUUUCAUUAUCAGAGCAAUCAUUUGUCCGGUGUUGAAAAGCUGCGAGGACAGAAAGAAAAGUCAAUAAGUUUGACCUCACUUCUGGGAGGGGAAACUCCUGGGAGUCAUUACAAGUCAACUGUGGAAGAAUCAACACGCUGGUUUUAAUGGAUGAGUCUGAAACAAAUUCUUUCCAGAGCCAACAUUCUUCUGUUCUCCAAUCCGCACCCAAAUGAGCAGAGAACUGAGGUCGUCUUCUGCAAUGAAAGUCCUCCUUCACCUCGGGUGUCUGAGGAGAGAGCAAGAGGAUAAGUGGAAAAUAAUUUAUAUGACCAGAAGGGAAACCAACUUUGUCAGUAUUUCCUCAAGUUGCAAAAGCAGCAGCAAUAUAUUCAAAUGUGGUCAGAUGUGACACAUUCAUUUUUCUCACUUAGGUCCUGGUUCUGGAAAACGUCUCUGAAAAGCACUUCAGGAUGUGCUGAUGCUCAGAGCUGGGUGCGAACCCCACGCAGCCCAGGGAAACUCAAGCAUGUGCUUACAGAUAAGCAUGAAUGCACUCAAGUGGUGUCCUGAUUAGGGCAUGUGCUUAAGUGGCUCCUUGAGUUGGAGCCUCUGGCUUUGAACAGGCACUCCCAUUCUCUGUGUGUUAUGCAGACAGAACUAACUAAAUACUCGCUUGUU